rnacentral:rRNA from 1 species
AUUGAACGCUGGCGGCAGGCCUAACACAUGCAAGUCGAGCGAGCGGCGGACGGGUGAGUAAUGUCUGGGAAACUGCCUGAUGGAGGGGGAUAACUCCUGGAAACGGUAGCUAAUACCGCAUACUAUCAGAUGUGCCCAUAGGGGAUGAGCUAGUAGGUGGGGUAAUGGCUCACCUAGGCGACGAUCCCUAUAUGGUCUGAGAGGCCGACCAGCCACACGGGGAAUGAGACACGGUCCAGACUCCUACGGGAGGCAGCAGUGGGGAAUAUUGCACAAUGGGGGAAACCCUGAUCCAGCCAGCCCGCGGGUAUGAUGAAGGCCUUCGGGUUGUAAAGCACUGUUGGCAGGGAGGCGUUACCCGCAGAAGAAGCACCGGCUAACUACGUGCCAGCAGCCGCGGUAAUAC